rnacentral:rRNA from 1 species
GUGGGGAAUCUUGCGCAAUGGGCGAAAGCCUGACGCAGCCAUGCCGCGUGAAUGAUGAAGGUCUUAGGAUUGUAAAAUUCUUUCACCGGGGACGAAAAUGACGGUACCCGGAGAAGAAGCUCCUGCUAACUUCGUGCCAGCAGCCGCGGUAUACGAAGGGGGCUAGCGUUGCUCGGAAUUACUGGGCGGAAAGGGCGCGUAGGCGGACAGCUUAGUCAGAGGUGAAAGCCCAGGGCUCAACCUUGGAAUGGCAUUUGAUACUGGCGGUCUUGAGUUUGGAAGAGGUGAGUGGAACUCCGAGUGUAGAGGUGAAAUUCGUAGAUAUGCGGAAGAACACCAGUGGCGAAGGCGACUCACUGGCCCAAUACUGACGCUGAGGCGCGAAAGCGUGGGGAGCAAACAGGAUUAGAUACCCUUGUAGUCC